GAUGAAGAGGAGGGGCGGACAGGCCUUGGCUGGAGGAGAGGGACAAACCCUACGUGUGCGACAUCUGCGGGAAGCGCUACAAGAACCGCCCGGGGCUGAGCUACCACUACAGCCACACCCACCUGGCCGAGGAGGAGGCCGAGGAGCCGGGGGGGGGCGCGAGGCCCCCCCGCAGGAACCACCACCGGCAGUUUUACAAAGAG